rnacentral:rRNA from 1 species
UACAGAGGGGGCAAGCGUUGUUCGGAAUUACUGGGCGUAAAGGGCGCGUAGGCGGCCGGUUUGCGUCGGAUGUGAAAGCCCGGGGCUCAACCCCGGAACGGCAUCCGAUACGGGACGGCUGGAGACCGGGAGAGGAGGUGGAAGUAGCCAGGUGUAGAGGUGAAAUUCGUAGAUAUUGGCUGGAACACCGGGUGGCGAAAGCGGCUCUCGUGGCCCGGUUCUGACGCUGAGGCGCGAAAGCGUGGGGAGCAAACAGG